rnacentral:rRNA from 1 species
GCAUAUCAAUAGCGGAGGAAAAGAAACCAACAGGGAUUGCCCUAGUAACGGCGAGUGAAGCGGCAACAGCUCAAAUUUGAAAUCUGGCUUUCGGGCCCGAGUUGUAAUUUGUAGAGGAUACUUUUGAUGCGGUGCCUUCCGAGUUCCCUGGAACGGGACGCCAUAGAGGGUGAGAGCCCCGUCUGGUUGGAUGCCAAAUCUCUGUAAAGUUCCUUCGACGAGUCGAGUAGUUUGGGAAUGCUGCUCUAAAUGGGAGGUAUAUGUCUUCUAAAGCUAAAUAUUGGCCAGAGACCGAUAGCGCACAAGUAGAGUGAUCGAAAGAUGAAAAGCACUUUGAAAAGAGAGUUAAAAAGUACGUGAAAUUGUUGAAAGGGAAGCGUUUAUGACCAGACUUGGACUUGGUCAAUCAUCUGGGGUUCUCCCCAGUGCACUUUUCCAGUUCAGGCCAGCAUCAGUUUUCGCCGGGGGAUAAAGGCUUCGGGAAUGUAGCUCUCUUCGGGGAGUGUUAUAGCCCGUUGUGUAAUACCCUGGCGGAGACUGAGGUUCGCGCUUCUGCAAGGAUGCUGGCGUAAUGGUCAUCAACGACCCGUCUUGAAACACGGACCAAGGAGUCGUCUUCGUAUGCGAGUGUUCGGGUGUCAAACCCCUACGCGUAAUGAAAGUGAACGCAGGUGAGAGCUUCGGCGCAUCAUCGACCGAUCCUGAUGUUCUCGGAUGGAUUUGAGUAAGAGCAUACGGGGCCGGACCCGAAAGAAGGUGAACUAUGCCUGUAUAGGGUGAAGCCAGAGGAAACUCUGGUGGAGGCUCGCAGCGGUUCUGACGUGCAAAUCGAUCGUCAAAUAUGGGCAUGGGGGCGAAAGACUAAUCGAACCUUUCUAGUAGCUGGUUUCCGCCGAA